UGGGGAAUAUUGGACAAUGGGCGCAAGCCUGAUCCAGCCAUGCCGCGUGAGUGAUGAAGGCCCUAGGGUUGUAAAGCUCUUUCGCCAGGGACGAUAAUGACGGUACCUGGAUAAGAAGCCCCGGCUAACUUCGUGCCAGCAGCCGCGGUAAUACGAAGGGGGCUAGCGUUGUUCGGAAUCACUGGGCGUAAAGCGCACGUAGGCGGAUCUUUAAGUCAGGGGUGAAAUCCCGAGGCUCAACCUCGGAACUGCCUUUGAUACUGGAGGUCUCGAGUCCGGGAGAGGUGAGUGGAACUGCGAGUGUAGAGGUGAAAUUCGUAGAUAUUCGCAAGAACACCAGUGGCGAAGGCGGCUCACUGGCCCGAUACUGACGCUGAGGUGCGAAAGCGUGGGGAGCAAAACAGGAUUAGAUACCCUGGUAGUCCACGCCGUAAACGAUGGAUGCUAGCCGUUGGGGAGCUUGCUCUUCAGUGGCGCAGCUAACGCUUUAAGCAUCCCGCCUGGGGNGUACGGUCGCAGAUAAACUCAAAUGAAUUGACGGGGUUAUAGCUGUUUCCUG
rnacentral:rRNA from 1 species